AUAAGAAGAAUUGCAUCAAAUGAAAAAUUUAAAUUAAAUAUAAAUAUAACAUUAACAAUAAUUAUUUUUAUUAUUAUCAGUGACGAAAUAAUAAAUGAAAAUCAAGUAAUAGAUAAACUAGAAUUAUCAGAAAAUAACCCAAUAGAAAAAAUUUCAAUAAUCAAAUUAUACAAUGAAAAAUCAAUAAUCAUUACUAUAAUUAUAGUAAUAUUUUUACUAUUAACUAUAAUUUCCACAACAAAAAUUGUCAAGUUACACGAAGGACCUUUACGAAAAAAAACUUAUGAAUAAGCCAAUACGAAAAAAUAACCCAAUUAUUAAAAUUAUUAAUUACUCAUUAAUUGAUUUACCAGCCCCUUUAAAUUUAUCAUCAUGAUGAAAUUUUGGAUCAAUUUUAGGUUUAUGCUUAACUAUUCAACUAAUUACAGGUAUUUUAUUAUCAAUACAUUAUACAUCAAAUAUUGAAAUAGCAUUUAAUAGAGUAAAUCACAUUACUCGAGAUGUAAAUUACGGUUGAUUAAUGCGAACAAUCCAUUCAAAUGGUGCAUCAAUAUUUUUUAUCUGCAUAUAUUUACAUACAGGACGAGGUAUAUAUUAUGGGUCAUACAAGUUUAUUAAAACAUGAAUAGUAGGAGUAAUAAUUAUAUUAUUAACAAUAGCUACAGCAUUCUUAGGGUACGUUUUACCAUGAGGUCAAAUAUCUUUUUGAGGAGCAACUGUUAUUACAAAUUUAUUGUCAGCGCUCCCUUACAUUGGAAGAAUAUUAGUUAACUGAAUUUGAGGGGGAUUCGCUGUAGAUAAUGCAACACUAUCACGAUUUUUUAGACUUCAUUUUCUUUUACCAUUUAUUAUUAUAAUAAUAACAAUUAUUCAUCUAUUUUUUCUUCAUAUAACAGGUUCAAAUAACCCAAUUGGGAUUAACUCAAACAUUGAUAAAAUUCCAUUUCACCCAUAUUUCUCAAUUAAAGACUUAAUAGGAUUUUCAAUUAUCAUUACUAUACUUCUAAUUUUAAAUAUAACUGAACCUUACAUAUUAUCAGACCCAGAUAAUUUUACUCCUGCAAACCCUAUGGUAACCCCAAUUCACAUUCAACCUGAAUGAUACUUCUUAUUUGCAUAUGCAAUUCUACGGUCAAUUCCUAAUAAAUUAGGGGGGGUGAUGGCAUUGUUUUUAUCAAUUUUAAUUUUAAUAAUUUUACCAUUCUCCAUAAAAAUAAAAUUUAAAGGAAUUGAAUUUUAUCCAAUUAAUCAAAUCAACUUUUGAAUAUUUUCUUCAACAGUAAUUCUUCUAACAUGAAUUGGAGCACGGCCUGUAGAACUACCCUAUACAGAAACAGGAAUAAUAUUAACAGUUAUAUAUUUUAUUUACUUUAUUAGAGAUCCAUUAAUUUCAAAAAUAUGAGAUAAAAUUAUUAAAUA